GAGUUUGAUCGUGGCUCAGGGUGGUAGGAACAUUGAGGCUGGGGCCGCCUGAGGCUUUGGCAUGAGGCUGGGGGGCUGAGGAGAGAUGUGAAACAGUUACACCGGGGGUGAAGGUGUCAGAGAGGCCUCUCAGUUUCAGCUUGAGUCGGCAGGCAGGCCAUGGUGGUGGCUGGUGGGGAAGUCACCACUGCCCCAGGCCAGAGAGGAUUGCCUCUGAGCCAGGGAUGUCCAGGGCUGCCUCUGAGAGAGGUACAGGUGGGAGUGGACACGGGCAGGUCAACCACUGUCCCUGCCCCAUGACCCCGACACAGGUCAGAUGACCCAGAUGUGGGGGCCAGGGCAGGAGCAGUUGAGGGGCCAGGCUAUCAGCUGAGUCGAAAGUU
rnacentral:rRNA from 1 species